rnacentral:lncRNA from 1 species
AUGGGCACAAGGCACCCCAAAAAUCAGCACAGGACACCCCAAAAAUGUCACCCCCGGUACCCCAAAAAUGGGCACACGGCACCCCAAAAAUGGGCACAAACAGCGCCCCAAAAAUCAGCACACGGCACCCCGAAAAUGGGCACAGGGCACCCAAAAAAUCAGCACACACGGCACCCCAAAAAUCAGCACAGCCGGAACCCCAAAAUUGUCACACGGAACCCCAAAAAUCAGCACAAACAGCACCCCAAAAAUGGGCACAGGGCACCCCAAAAAUCAGCACAGGACACCCCAAAAAUGGCACCCCCGGCACCCCAAAAAUGGGCACACGGCACCCCAAAAAUCAGCACAGCCGGAACCCCAAAAUUGUCACACACGGAACCCCAAAAAUCACACCCGGCACCCCAAAAAUCAGCACACCCCAAAUUCCUGCCGGGGAUACCCCAAAACCCCUCCAAGGGACCCCAAAUUCUCCCCAGGACCCCCCCAGGACACCCCAAAACCCCCCCAGGACCCCCCAAAACUCCAACACCCCAAAUUCCUGCCAGGGACCCCCCAAAACCCCCCCAGGACCCCCCAAAAUCUCUCCAGGACCCCCCAAAACCCCUCUCAGCCCCCCCAAAUCUAUCCCAGCCCCCCAAAAACCCCUUACAGCCCCCCAAAAAUCCCCCCAGGACCCCCCAAAUCCAUCCCAGCACCCCAAAAAUCAUCACACGGCACCCCAAAAAUUGGCACAUGGAACCCCAAAAAUCAGCACACGGAACCCCAAAAAUGGGCACAGGGCACCCCAAAAAUCAGCACAGGGCACCCCAAAAAUGGGCACAUGGAACCCCAAAAUCAGCACCCGGCACCCCAAAAAUCCCCACACCCCAAAUUCCUGACAGGGACACCCCAAAACCCCCCCAGGACCCCCCAAAAUCCCCCCAGGAGCCCCCAAAACCCUCCAGGACCCCCCAAAAUCCAUCCCAGCACCCCAAAAUUGUCAAACGGCACCCCAAAAAUCAGCACAAACAGCGCCCCAAAAAUCAGCACAGUCGGAACCCCAAAAUUGGGCACCCGGCACCCCAAAAUUGUCACACGGCACCCCAAAAAUGUCACACGGCACCCCAAAAAUCAGCACAAACAGCGCCCCAAAAAUGGCACCCACGGUACCCCAAAAUUCAGCACACGGCACCCCAAAAAUCAGCACAGGGCGCCCCAAAAAUCAGCACAGGGCACCCCAAAAAUGGGCACACGGCACCCCAAAAAUGGCACCCACGGAACCCCAAAAAUGGCACCCACGGUACCCCAAAAAUGGCACACGGCACCCCAAAAAUCAGCUCAGCCGGUACCCCAAAAAUGGGCACACGGCACCCCAAAAAUCCCCACACCCCAAAUUCCUGCCAGGGACACCCCAAAACCCCUCCAAGGGACUCCAAAAUCCACCCGGGACCCCCCAAAUUCCCUUCAGGACCCCCCCAAAACCCCCCCGAAUCCUCCCCAGGACACCCCAAAACCCCCCCAGGACCCCCCAAAAUCCCCAAACCCCAAAUUCCAUCCAGGGACACCCCAGAACGCCCCCAGGACCCCCAAAAUCCCUCCCGGCCCCCCCAAAUCUACCCCAGCCCCCCCAAAAUCUCCCCAGGACCCCCCAAAAACCCCUCCCAGCCCCCCAAAAUCCCUCCCGGCCCCCCCAAAUCUAUUCCAGCCCCCCAAAAUCCCCCCAGGACCCCCAAAAUCCCCCCAGGACCACCGAAAAACCCCUCCCAGCCCCCCAAAAACUCCACCGGACCCCCAAAAAUCCCCUCUCGGACCCCCCAAAAAUCCCCCCAGGACCCCCCAAAACCCCUCUCAGCCCCCCCCAAAACCCCCCAGUACCCCCCAAUUCCCUCCAGGACCCCCCAAAAUCCCUCCCGGUCACCCCAAAAUCCCUCCCGGCCCCCCAAAAACCCCCCAGGACCCCCCAAAAUCCCCUCCAAACCCCCCCAAAACCCCUCUCAGCCCCCCCAAAUCCCUCCCAGCCCCCCCAACCCCCCCCAGGACCCCCAAAAAUCCCCUCUCGGACCCCAAAAACCCCUCCCAGCCCCCCCAAACCCCACCCAGGGCAUUAUCAGCCCCCCCCCAAAAACCCCUCCCAGCCCCCCAAAACCCCCCCAAGGCUUUAUCAGCCCCCCCAAAAUCCCUCCCGGCCCCCCCAAAAACUCCACCCUGGGCUUUAUCAGCCCCCCCAAACCCCCCAAGGGACCCCAAAAACCCCACCCAGCCCCCCAAAAACCCCCCCGCCCCCCAGAUAAGCCUUAUCAGCCCCCCCAGUUCCGCCGCACCCCAAAACCGUCGGAAUUUCCCCCAAUUCUCAGAGAACCCCAAAUUCGAAAGGACCCCGAAUUCCGGAGACCCCAAAUUUCGGGGAACCCCAAAUUCCCAAGGACCCCAAAUUCCGGAGACCCCAAAUUCCCAGGGACCCCAAAUUCCGGAGACCCCAAAUUCCCGGGGACUCCCCCAAAUUCCAGGGAACCCCAAAACUCAGAGACCCCCAAAGUCCCUCAAUUCCCAGUGAACCCCAAAUUCCCGGGGACUCCCCCAAAUUCCCAAAGACCCCAAAUUCCGGAGACCCCAAAUUCCCGGGGACUCCCCCAAAUUCCAGGGAACCCCAAAACUCAGAGACCCUCAAAGUCCCUCAAUUCCCAGUGA